CGACCUACGGGAGGCAGCAGUGGGGAAUAUUGGGCAAUGGGCGCAAGCCUGACCCAGCAACGCCGCGUGAAGGAAGAAGGCUUUCGGGUUGUAAACUUCUUUUCUCAGGGACGAAGCAAGUGACGGUACCUGAGGAAUAAGCCACGGCUAACUACGUGCCAGCAGCCGCGGUAAUACGUAGGUGGCAAGCGUUAUCCGGAUUUACUGGGUGUAAAGGGCGUGUAGGCGGGGACGCAAGUCAGAUGUGAAAACCACGGGCUCAACCUGUGGCCUGCAUUUGAAACUGGGUUUCUU
rnacentral:rRNA from 1 species